CGGCUCGGUACGGCGGGCCGCGUCGGCUACGACCUGGCGGACGCGGCGUACUUCCACCGGGAGCUGCCGUACGACGCGGACCGGGCGGA
rnacentral:tRNA from 1 species